CACCCCCCAUUUUUUGAUUUCACGCACAUAGUGACCCCAACCUUUCCGCCAGCGCAACUCUCACUUCCCUACCCGAAGACCCCCCCGAUUUUCAGCUAUCUCUUGUAGCCGGAUCCUUCGAGCGCCACACGUCUUCUAUCAAGCUCGCCGUCGAGCCACACCCUCACUCGUCGAAACCCUCGUGUGCCCAGUCGUACGAAGCCCCCAACCGCACGUCGUGUCGUUCGUCCCAGCCCGAGAGUCGAGUCAUCGCUUUGUCGAUUCGCUAGUAGCCCCACGCCUCCCGUCAAAGCCAACGAUGCUCGCCUGAAGCCACCGCCUGUCGAGCUGUUUUCCAGUCGUCCACCGCGCCCAACAAAAUUUCCUGCCGGCAAAGCCAGAUCUGAGACGCCGUCUCUAGCCGCGUGCCUCCCUGCUCGUUCCGCCACCGUCGUUCACCCCUUCGCCGUGCCUCUGCUGUCAGUUGAGUGUUUUGGUAAUGGUAGAGAUGCACUGGUGAUUGACGAGCGAAAUUCGUGAUCGAGCCACUGGGACCAGUUUUAUGCUUUCGCUCAUGAUAUUUAGAUUUUUUUUUCAUGUUUUUCAGCCUUCAGUUUUGAUGUUUGAAACUUACUACUAAGAUUUGUUUUUAGACGUAUUUAUUAUCAUUUAUGA